UUCUUCAGGGUUGGGUGCAAUUCCCUACUGGCGGUGAAGGCGUAAGCUUACAGUCCGCGACCCGCAGGUGUAUCACUUGUGGCUGAUCCGGUGUGAAUCCGGGACCAACAGUACAGUCUGGAUGAAAGAAGAA
rnacentral:ncRNA from 1 species